UUCUUUUCUUCCUCACGCUGCACACCCGCUCUUCCCUCGUUUCUUUCAUAACCAACACCAGCCAGCCCCAAAAUGUUUCCUUCUCCUCCUCCUUCCACUAACGACCCCUUAUUUUUAGAUUUUUUCACCGAAAAAGCGACGACUUAGAAGAAAGAAGCACCCAAAUCGGCUGCUGGCAUUUCCUCAAACCACCAUUUGCCAUCGUCUUUUGGGCAAACUAGCAUUGGAAACGAACUCCUCACCGGUGUCGCAGCUUUUCGGCUUCGAUCCGGUGUUUUCCACUGAGCUUCAGGCAAAAAUAUUUGUAUAUUUAGGUUAUAUGCGUCUCAAGCUUCACCAUAGGCACCUUUGAAUUCGAAUUUCGACAUCGUUGGUUAUACUGACUUUCGAACUCUAAUAUUU
rnacentral:lncRNA from 1 species